GUCAGCUAAUGAAAUCAAUUAAAUAACCACCUCUCAAUUACUUGCCGUAGAUAUCAAUAGGUCAAUAAGUCCAAAAUAGGUUAACUCAAGCGAAUCAGACUCAAGCCAUUGAGCUAAAUUAGGUCCUUAGGUUAAUCGAUUCUAUAUAUGGAUUUCAAUCGAUUUUAUCAACAGCAAUUAUAUGAUCAUUUAACUUGAUUGAUCUAAUCCUCAUCAACACU
rnacentral:lncRNA from 1 species